GUAAGUUACCUUCUAUUUUUGCAAGCACAUUAUUUGCCAUGCACGCAAGAGAGCACGUCCAGUUACUUCUUGUUGGUUUACCAAUUAUAUAAACAUCACAUUGUCGAGCCUGCUUCCAUACAAGUAACCAUUUCAUGUCUAUGUCUAUGGAACAGCGCUAAACGUCUAAAAACAACAGAAACAUUGUGCCAUGAAACUAAGCACUGCCUGAGACCUUGUUUCGUUUUCAACUUUUACAUCAUGGUCCUUUUGAUGACUGAUGCAAUCGUUGCAUUGGCACCUUUGUUCAUCAAGAAACAUUCACUGUUUUUCUUCACAUAGAUUACAAUGGAAGGAAUCUGGCAGGUCAGUACCUAUAUUAGCAGAUUAAAAUGUAGGAAGUUAAGCGAUAAGAAAACAAAAUCACAAUGUCCCUAUGCUCAAUCUACUUCAGUGUUCCAGCGUUGAGAAAGGACAGACUAAGAACCUGAACUAUCUGAAUUCUAUUUAGGCCUGGACACAUUGCCAGGUUGAAUCCGACGACACACUCGAUUCUUAGGUUGACGGCGAACGACAUCUGGAUGAGGCACAAUGAACAUGCUCUUAUAUCCUUGAAAAUGUGCAGCAAAAUAUUGCUGCACUUGAGAAUGAUAGGCUAAGUGGAUAAGCUUAAGUGACUAAAACCAACUAUAUAUUGUUCCUUUUUCAAACAAAAAACUUAGGUCAAUUCAAAGUGAAAAAAGAAUUAAACUGAAUUAUGAAAACACUUCUAAAAAGGACAAUACAUGGAAGUAUUUAUCUUUCAUUCAUAUAUCGUCUUUUCUAGAAGCAUUUUCAAAAGGGAAGUUUCUCCAUACCAGUUUGCUCCCUAACGCUUUUUUUUGUUAAAUCAUACGUUUUUUAGAAAAAGGGAAAAUGUACUCUUUGUUCACCACUUAUGUAACUAAAUCUUGGUUGCUGCGGAUUAUAAAAAAAGUUAGGUUACUUUAGUAAGCGCUUCUAUACUCUAAUUCUCGAUAUUGUUGCCAUGCGCGGUGCACAUGGCUAUGCUCAGCACGAUUUACACAGCUACACUGACCCUUGAACAGACCCUUGAACAUUGUGUUCUCUUUCUGGAUGUUAAAUUGGACUGAGUGCUCUUUUUCUAAGAAACUUCAUUCAAAAGACUCCAAAAUACCGGUGACUUCCAUGAGUACUGACAUGUAUAUAUUUAGUGAAAAAUUCCUCAAAAAGCAAAAGAGAGUGUAUAUUUUCGUCAAAAUUCCUCAAAAAGGUUAUUGAUUUUCUGUCAAAUCCAGAAAACAGAACUGACUGAACACGAGACAUCGGUGUUUCCUAAAGCUUGCCAAACCAAAUUUAAGAACCAUUAUAUCAAUAAUAAAAUUGUCUCUGACCUUGUAUCUAACCUGAAUGCACAUAUUGCUUGAGCUGAAGAUGUAGUUCUUCUGACCUUAGAGAAACUAAUUGUGUGGCCGGAAGUGGUGGACCCACCUGAUUAGUAGGUAGUAGGCAUUAAAAUGUGAUCUUCAUAAGUGAAAUGAAAUUGCUGGCUAGCAUCCAUUUGCUAAUAAAAUCAAUUCAUAAUUGAUGUGUAUUCAUUUGAAGUUAGAACAGAAACUGACAUACCAUAACUCUACAGAUGGGGUACAGAAUCCAAUAUCGUCCCCUUUUGAUAAAUCAGCCUGACUAAAUGUGACAAUAUCAGUGUGCUAAGAUUCAUCUAUCAGCUAUGGUGCGAGGAGCAUGUAUCUUUUCGUCAUCAGAUCUUGUAGUUUUGGAUUCCACGCAUUAUAAACAAUUAACGUCCAGGUGCAACCCCACCACACCCCACCGAGAAUCAAUUGCCACCGCAAAAUGUUAACUAAGACCAUCCAUGGCUCAAUGGCCACGAAGCGCAUAGCAAAGUAAGGGAGGGGAUCUGGAGUAGCUCACCAUGGCAAAUUUGUGGCUCGCGCUGGCUCAGCAGCGGGGCCAACCUCUACUUCUGCACAAGGAGAAGAGUCCAUCCAUAAACAAUAGGAAUUGGAGCCAAUUAAGCCAAAAAGUAGCAGAACUUUAAAUAAUCCUACAUUAUCCGCGACCAUGAAUGAAACAGAGCACAAGAGAACUUCCAUGGCGUCGUCCCUGCACCAAUUCCAUAACGAUAAUGAUACAACUUCCAGUAAAACAAAUCAUUCAUAGAGCAACUUAAAGUAAAACAAAUUGUUCAGACAGGUUCAUACAUACAGGCAUGGGAAAUUGUCACAGGGAACAAUUGCAUACCUAUAUAUUCCACAACCAUGACAAUGAUACUACUGUUUUGAGGCCUUAAAUCACAAUGCCCGGUCUUAGCUGUAAACUCCUGCUCACAAUAGACAAAACACCCAAAACUAUAAACUCUUCCUGCUCACAUCAUCAUCUCCAGAAUUACCGUAAACUAUUGCAUACCAGGCCUCACGGCAUAAGUGCUGGAUUCUGAGCUAUCUCUCGCCUCCAGUCACCUUACACACCAAUUCUCCUUGAAUACUUGAUGAUGUUUUGCUGCUGAUGCCACUUUUUAUUUUAUUUUCAGAUGAAGCGCUGGGGAGGGCGUCAGUAGAAUGCUUCAUCAAAAAAUUCAUCUGAUCUGCAAAAACUAUGUUUAAUGGUAUGCAAUUUACUCUUGUGUUAGAUGAGAUCAUAUACGUAAUCCGUGCGAUGGAACAGAUUUUAUUGCUAAAAGACUGAAUAAGGCGGACAUGGUACCUUCUCUAUUUGAGCAAGCACACUGCUUGCUGUGCUCAUGUAUAACUUCUUUAGAACACUAUGCUUCAUCUUACCGAACUGGAGUAGACGGCCUAUUUCCAAAAGCACUGAGUUGAAAGUGAAAGAGGGCCAUUAAGAUCAUCAAUUCUUCCUGUACCAUUCUGUUCCUUUCCUCGCUACAUGUUGAUUGACCACCUGCUUCACUGUGAACAUUUUAAGAUAGAGCCAUAAGUUAUUAUAUAGACCAUUCAUUCCUUUCGAUCAAACAUUCACAUUUGUUAGAAUCACUACAGUAAACACCAUGGUUAUUAUUUUGGGUAUACUGCAGUUGUAUUUUACACUGACAGAACUGGACAAUUUAAGCUAAGUUCAUGUCAGUGUUGCGACUCUUCAUCUACAUUUAAACUGAUGAACAAUUGUAUACAGCAUGAAUGUAGUAUUCUACUCUAGAUUGAAUACGGAAGAUAGGAUACUCCUAUACUUGCACAAGCAUGUUGUUUUGCUGCACAGACAUUUAAGUUCAUGUUGUCAUAUAGAAAAGUGAUUCCAUCCAGAACAUUAUGGAAGUAUUGCAUACCUGGCCUCAGAGCAGAAGUGCUAAAUUCUGAGCCAUCCCUCGCCUCCAGUCACCUUGCAUGCCAAUUCUCCUUGAAUACUUGAUUAUGUUUUGCUGCUGAUGCCACUUCUUAUUUUAUUUUCAGAUGAAGAACUGGGGCGGUUGUCAGUGGAAUACUUCAAAUAGAGUGCACCAGAUCUGCCGAGACUAUAAAUUUACUUUAUGUUAUAUGAGAUCAUAUAUGUAAUCCAUGUGAUGGAACAGAGUUUAUUUCUAGAAGACUGAAUAAGGCGGACAUGGUACCUUCUCUAUUUGAGCAAGAACACUGCUUGCUGUGCUCAUGUAUAACUUCUUUAGAACACUAUGCUUCAUCUUACCGAACUGGAGUAGACAGCCUAUUCCUAAAAGCACUAGUUGCUAUUUAAUUGCAUAUUUUAGCUGCAUACACCUCACAAGCAAAAGGGCAAUUUGAUACAUCUGCAAUCCAUUUUGCCACCUACAUGCGAACAGGGAAACACACAGCGAGAUUACAUCAUAUCAAAAUAAAAAGGCAAUGGACUAACAAGUACAUACCAUAAUAGUCACCCUUAACUGAUUUUAAAAGAAGAACUUGAGCGCCUAGGGAAACAGUGCAGCUUUUGACAGCUACCCCAUGGACUAGUGGUACAGAAUCCUUCCUGUACGAGCAAGGGUGCACAGGAUGGUGAGCACAGACUUCAAAAAAUGUAAACCAGUAUUCGUCGAACCAAAAAAAUUGAUACACAUAAUGCUUAGUUUAUUUAGUGGUAAUACAAAUAGGCACACCAGAUUCUUAUCUCUAUUCAAAUUAGUCAUUGUUGUUUAAUCACAUCUCUUGGCUGCAUACAUCUCACAAGCAAAAGGGCACAUUGAUUUGCAGGAUCCUCAGAAACUAAAGAAUACAGCACAGACACGCUCGCAAGAUAGCAGAUUGAGAACACGUAAAUUUUGAGAACAUGCGUGUUUGGUGCAUGAAUAAGAAGAAAAAAGUGACAAAAACAAAAGAAUAUUAAUAAACUAAAUAGUCGAAUUGUAUUUAAACAAGACAAAAAAAAGUCUAAAUAGAAUGUUACCAUGCUACAAAAAAUACAACCAUCUCACACCCCAGGAAUUUUUAAAGGACAUCCUUUUCUCCCUACGUGUUUCCUUUGUUUUACCUAUGAACCAGAGAGGCGAUAAACGCUUAAGCAUCUAACAUCCUUCAACUGACAAACACAAACGCUAGCUAAUUCCUGCGUCCUCUAGCACGCCUUUUGCACUUGAAACAUUUGGAUCUUUCAAAACCAACAAAUUAGAAGCUAAGAUAAAUACUCCCUCCGUCCGAAAAUACUUGUCAUCAAAAUGGACAAAAAGGGAUGUAUGUAGAACCAAAAUACAUCUAGAAACAUCCCCUUUUAUUCAUUUUGAUGACAAGUAUUUCUGGACGGAGGGAGUACAUUAUUAGUUUUCCCUUGCUAUUCACCUUAUAGGACCAACUAUAUGAGCUAGACAUUAGAAAAAUUCAACUAAAAUUGACAAACAUAUUAAACUACUUAAAGCGAGUUCAUUUAGCAUAGCAGUGGAUACUGAGCUAGUGGUGGGGGUGGGGCUAAGUUUUUUAAUCUUAGCGCAUCGCCUCACAUCCAUUAGCACUGGUGCUAGAAAAAAAAUCUAGCCCUCGGCAUCAGCAUGCAAAGAGCAUUUGCAUAGGUAGAAAUGGAAGGUUAGAAAGAAGGACUGACGAUGACACUAAAUAAUGUGAGGAUAAGUGCUAAAAUCAAAAGGCUUAACAUGGCCUGAAUAAAAUGUAUUUUGAAAAAUCUACCUCUCAAUUUAGCACCUCCCAAUAAGUGGUACUAAGAGUUGCGGCAAAAAAAUAAAAACUGAUUUAACAAGGUGAAUAGAGAAGAGAAGUUCAUGUGUCCCACUUAGCCUAUCGCAUAGGGGUUGGGAUGCGAAUGCACCAAGAUGACAAAUUACAUGGUUGGUAUGAUUUAUCUUAUCCUCGUGUGUUUGACUCUAGUGCUAUAACCAAAGGUGGUGUACGACAACUGUGGUUUGUAGGACUAUCAAAACAUGGCGAAGGAACCUUGGUUAAUAAUGAUAUAAAUGACCAGAAAAAUAGUAUAACUGGGAAACUAAAAAAGAAAAAAAUGCAUCAAUCAAAGAGGUUACGGAAUUGAAACAAGAGCACGGCAAUCUUUCUCUAAAAAUAGAGUGCAAAUGAGUGCUUACUUAGGGAAAAUUCCUAAAGAUACAAAUCAUCUGGGAAAAUAACCUAUAAAAUCGAAGACGCCCUGAUGUAAAAUAGAGCCAGCAGAUGGCUAUGAAUCUUUCUUGCAUCAACCACCCACCCAUUAAAACAUAUCUAACGUCAAAUACUAAUAAUAAUACUCGAACAUCCUCAGAUCGAACCAAACGGAACCGAACC
rnacentral:lncRNA from 1 species